UACGGAGGGUGCGAGCGUUGUCCGGAAUCACUGGGCGUAAAGGGCGCGUAGGCGGCAUGCCAAGCGUGUGGUGAAAGCCCGGGGCUCAACCUCGGGUCGGCCGUGCGGACUGGCGUGCUCGAGCACUGUAGGGGCGGGUGGAAUUCCGGGUGUAGCGGUGGAAUGCGUAGAGAUCCGGAAGAACACCGGUGGCGAAGGCGGCCCGCUGGGCAGGAAGGCUCGCAAGAGCCGGCUGACGCUGAGGCGCGACAGCGUGGGGAGCAAACAGG
rnacentral:rRNA from 1 species